CUCAGCGGGUAAAGAGGCGCUCCUGAGUAGUUCAUGGUGUUGUUUAAUAGUUUAUCGUGAUCCGCCAUUGAGCUUGUGUCAUAAAAAGUGGCGCCAGUAACAUCAAUCCAUUAGGCCAAAAUGAAGAAUGUUAUCUAAGUGGACAGAUAUAAUUGGCAGCGCGAAGAGGAAAACUUUAUUGUUUCAUUACUUAAAAUGUUCACCACGAACAAAAUACAGAACACCCGGAAAUAGAUGACCAGCUUGUUAUAGGAGAGAAGUCACCUGUCUAUCGUGUCAACCCCUUAUCGAGAAAGGUACUGUACAGAAAUCCUGCUUAUUUGCCUUCUAUCGUUUAAACCUCUAGAACCUCCUGUAGUCUUAAUUAAGGUA